UUUUUUUUUUUUUCUUUGAGACUAAGUCUCGCGCUGUCACCCAGGCUGGAGUGCAGUGGCCGGAUCUCAGCUCACUGCAAGCUCCGCCUCCCGGGUUCACGCCAUUCUCCUGCCUCCACCUCCCGAGUAGCUGGGACUACAGGCGUCCGCCACCUCGGCCGGCUAGUUUUUUGUAUUUUUUAGUAGAGACGGGGUUUCACCGUGUUAACCAGGAUGGUCUCGAUCUCCUGACCUCAUGAUCCGCCCGUCUCGGCCUCCCAAAGUGCUGGGAUUACAGGCUUGAGCCACCGCACCCGGCCAAAACUACAGUCUUUUUAUAACCUAAUCUCAGAAGUGACAUGGUAUCACUUCUGCCAUAUUCUGUUUGACACAAGCAAGCCACUAAGUCCAGUCUACACUCAAGGGGAGGGAAACGAAGCCUCAUUAACUGAAAGGACAGUUAUCAAAGAAUGAGUAGAUAGGACACAUCUUUAAAACCACAAUAUCACAACCACAUUAUUAACUUACCUAAUGCAUAAAUCAUCACUACCUUUUCUUCUCUACUGCCAGUUCAAAAACCUCUUAUCUUUACAAUUUCUCCAAAAUGAGUAUAAACCCUCAGCUUGAUAAUGAAUUCAUUCCUUUACCUACUUUCCAACCUGCAUCUCCCAUUCCUCCCCUCUGCACAUUCCUGCUCUAGCUACAUACUGCUUCCAAACACUUCCAUACUCGUUCACCGGCAUUCACACUGUUUCCUUGGCCUACAAGCAUGGUUCUCAAACUUAAGUUCAGGUGAAAGAACAUCUGACAGUCUCCAUACUCUUAAUACUACUACAAAACACGGAUCCACAAAGCCCAGUGUAACAAUUCAUUACACUGUGCUAAAAGGAAACCACUCUUACACUAGAUUCUAGAAUACACAAAGGGAAGCAGGUGCCAAUGAUUUCAGAACAUUUCUUCUAUACGUUGAUUAAACACAAGGCUAUUAUUAGAGAUUAGCAGAAUAUCCUUUCACGGAAGGAACACCUCCUGAAAGCAACUGAGGGAAAGCCUCUUACUCUCAUUCCUCCAUCUCUUAAAACUUUACAUGACUAGUUGUAAAAAGUCUGAAACCAUCCUGAAGGCGCCUAAAAAAGUUCCUAUAUAAACUGUAGUGUUGCUGCAUGGUGGGAUGCCAUAGAGCCGUUUAAAAAGAUGAGGCAGAGCUUUGUGUACUGACUUGGAACAAUCUCCAAGGUACGUUAAGAAGAAAAAGCAAGGUGUGGAACAAUGGGUAUACCAGGCUACUAUAUGUGUUUUUCUAAUAAGUAAGUUUGGCCAGGUUCAGUGGUUCAUGCAUGCAACCCCAGCACUUUGGGAGGCUGAGGUGGGAGGAUCCUUUGAAGCCAGGAGUUGGAGACCAGCCUGGGCAACAUGGUGAGACUCCUCCCUGUCCUCAUCUCUACAAAAAAAACUGUAAAAGAUAUCAGGACAUGGUGACCAGAACCUUUAGUCCUACCUACUCGGGAAGCUGAAGCCGGAGGAUCUCUUGAACCCAGGAGUUCCAAACUGCAGUUAAGCUAUAGUCACGCCACUACACUCCAGCCUGAGUGACAGAGCCAGUCUCCGUUUCUUUAAAAAAAAAAAAAAAAAUGGCCGGGCACAGUGGCUCACUCCUGUCAUCCCAGCACUUUGGGAGGCCAAGGCGAGUAGAUCACCUGAGGUCAGGAGUUCGAGACCAGCCUGGCCAACAUGGACAAACGCCCUCUCUACUAAAAAUACAAAAUUAGCCAGGCGUGAUGGCGCAUGCCUGUAAUCUUAGUUACUGGGGAGGGUGAGGCAGGAGAGAAUAGCUUGAACCGGGAGGCGGAGGUUGCGGUGGGCUGAGAUCUCGCCAUUGCACUCCAGCCUAGGCAACAAGAGUGAAACUCCGUCUCAAAAAAAAAAAAGGUAGCCGGGCGUGGUGGCGUGCGCCUAUAGUUCCAGCUACUCGGGAGGCUGAGACAAGAGAACUGCUUGAACUGAAAAUGGGGAGAUUGCAGUGAGACGAGAUCACUGCACUCCAGCCUGGGCGACAGAGCGAGACUGUUACACACACACACAAAAAAAAAAAAAGGAAAAAAGAAAUUAAACCCAUCCAAAAAGAGAAAGGAGAAGU
rnacentral:lncRNA from 1 species